UUAAGCGACUAAGCGUACACGGUGGAUGCCCUGGCAGUCAGAGGCGAUGAAGGACGUGCUAAUCUGCGAAAAGCGCCGGCGAGGUGAUAUGAACCUUUGACCCGGCGAUGUCCGAAUGGGGAAACCCAGUGCAAUCCGUUGCACUAUCGUUAACUGAAUACAUAGGUUAACGAGGCGAACCGGGGGAACUGAAACAUCUAAGUACCCCGAGGAAAAGAAAUCAACCGAGAUUCCCCCAGUAGCGGCGAGCGAACGGGGAGCAGCCCGGAGUCUGAAUCAGCUUGUGUGUUAGUGGAACGGUCUGGAAAGUCCGACGGUACAGGGUGAUAGUCCCGUACACGAAAAUGCACAUGCUGUGAACUCGAAGAGUAGGGCGGGACACGUGGUAUCCUGUCUGAAUAUGGGGGGACCAUCCUCCAAGGCUAAAUACUCCUGACUGACCGAUAGUGAACCAGUACCGUGAGGGAAAGGCGAAAAGAACCCCGGCGAGGGGAGUGAAAAAGAACCUGAAACCGUGUACGUACAAGCAGUGGGAGCCUCUUUAUGGGGUGACUGCGUACCUUUUGUAUAAUGGGUCAGCGACUUAUAUUCUGUAGCAAGGUUAACCGUAUAGGGGAGCCGAAGGGAAACCGAGUCUUAACUGGGCGUUAAGUUGCAGGGUAUAGACCCGAAACCCGGUGAUCUAGCCAUGGGCAGGUUGAAGGUUGGGUAACACUAACUGGAGGACCGAACCGACUAAUGUUGAAAAAUUAGCGGAUGACCUGUGGCUGGGGGUGAAAGGCCAAUCAAACCGGGAGAUAGCUGGUUCUCCCCGAAAGCUAUUUAGGUAGCGCCUCGUGAACUCAUCUUCGGGGGUAGAGCACUGUUUCGGCUAGGGGGCCAUCCCGGCUUACCAACCCGAUGCAAACUACGAAUACCGAAGAAUGUUAUCACGGGAGACACACGGCGGGUGCUAACGUCCGUCGUGAAGAGGGAAACAACCCAGACCGCCAGCUAAGGUCCCAAAGUCAUGGUUAAGUGGGAAACGAUGUGGGAAGGCACAGACAGCCAGGAUGUUGGCUUAGAAGCAGCCAUCAUUUAAAGAAAGCGUAAUAGCUCACUGGUCGAGUCGGCCUGCGCGGAAGAUGUAACGGGGCUAAACCAUGCACCGAAGCUGCGGCAGCGACACUAUGUGUUGUUGGGUAGGGGAGCGUUCUGUAAGCCGUUGAAGGUGUGCUGUGAGGCAUGCUGGAGGUAUCAGAAGUGCGAAUGCUGACAUAAGUAACGAUAAAGCGGGUGAAAAGCCCGCUCGCCGGAAGACCAAGGGUUCCUGUCCAACGUUAAUCGGGGCAGGGUGAGUCGACCCCUAAGGCGAGGCCGAAAGGCGUAGUCGAUGGGAAACAGGUUAAUAUUCCUGUACUUGGUGUUACUGCGAAGGGGGGACGGAGAAGGCUAUGUCAGCCGGGCGACGGUUGUCCCGGUUUAAGCAUGUAGGCGGAGGUUCCAGGUAAAUCCGGUACCUUGUUAACGCUGAGGUGUGAUGACGAGGCACUACGGUGCUGAAGUGAUAAAUGCCCUGCUUCCAGGAAAAGCCUCUAAGCAUCAGGUAACACGAAAUCGUACCCCAAACCGACACAGGUGGUCAGGUAGAGAAUACCAAGGCGCUUGAGAGAACUCGGGUGAAGGAACUAGGCAAAAUGGUGCCGUAACUUCGGGAGAAGGCACGCUGAUGUGUAGGUGAAGCCCCUGCGGGUGGAGCUGAAAUCAGUCGAAGAUACCAGCUGGCUGCAACUGUUUAUUAAAAACACAGCACUGUGCAAACACGAAAGUGGACGUAUACGGUGUGACGCCUGCCCGGUGCCGGAAGGUUAAUUGAUGGGGUUAGCGGCAACGCGAAGCUCUUGAUCGAAGCCCCGGUAAACGGCGGCCGUAACUAUAACGGUCCUAAGGUAGCGAAAUUCCUUGUCGGGUAAGUUCCGACCUGCACGAAUGGCGUAAUGAUGGCCAGGCUGUCUCCACCCGAGACUCAGUGAAAUUGAACUCGCUGUGAAGAUGCAGUGUACCCGCGGCAAGACGGAAAGACCCCGUGAACCUUUACUAUAGCUUGACACUGAACACUGGUCCUUGAUGUGUAGGAUAGGUGGGAGGCUUUGAAGCGUGGACGCCAGUCUGCGUGGAGCCAACCUUGAAAUACCACCCUUUAAUGGCUGGUGUUCUAACGUAGACCCGUAAUCCGGGUUGCGGACAGUGUCUGGUGGGUAGUUUGACUGGGGCGGUCUCCUCCCAAAGAGUAACGGAGGAGCACGAAGGUUGGCUAAUCCUGGUCGGACAUCAGGAGGUUAGUGCAAUGGCAUAAGCCAGCUUGACUGCGAGCGUGACGGCGCGAGCAGGUGCGAAAGCAGGUCAUAGUGAUCCGGUGGUUCUGAAUGGAAGGGCCAUCGCUCAACGGAUAAAAGGUACUCCGGGGAUAACAGGCUGAUACCGCCCAAGAGUUCAUAUCGACGGCGGUGUUUGGCACCUCGAUGUCGGCUCAUCACAUCCUGGGGCUGAAGUAGGUCCCAAGGGUAUGGCUGUUCGCCAUUUAAAGUGGUACGCGAGCUGGGUUUAGAACGUCGUGAGACAGUUCGGUCCCUAUCUGCCGUGGGCGCUGGAGAAUUGAGGGGGGCUGCUCCUAGUACGAGAGGACCGGAGUGGACGCAUCACUGGUGUUCGGGUUGUCAUGCCAAUGGCACUGCCCGGUAGCUAAAUGCGGAAGAGAUAAGUGCUGAAAGCAUCUAAGCACGAAACUUGCCCCGAGAUGAGUUCUCCCUGAGACUUUAAGUCUCCUGAAGGAACGUUGAAGACGACGACGUUGAUAGGUCGGGUGUGUAAGCGCAGCGAUGCGUUGAGCUAACCGAUACUAAUGAACCGUGAGGCUUAACCUU
rnacentral:rRNA from 2 species